GUUAUAGGGUCAAGCGAACAAGUGCAUGUGGUGGAUGCCUUGGCGAUCACAGGCGAUGAAGGACGCGGUAGCCUGCGAAAAGCUACGGGGAGCUGGCAAACAAGCUUUGAUCCG
rnacentral:rRNA from 1 species